rnacentral:rRNA from 1 species
GGUUAAGCGACUAAGCGUACACGGUGGAUGCCCUGGCAGUCAGAGGCGAUGAAGGACGUGCUAAUCUGCGAUAAGCGUCGGUGAGGUGAUAUGAACCGUUAUAACCGGCGAUUUCCGAAUGGGGAAACCCAGUGUGUUUCGACACACUAUCAUUAACUGAAUCCAUAGGUUAAUGAGGCGAACCGGGGGAACUGAAACAUCUAAGUACCCCGAGGAAAAGAAAUCAACCGAGAUUCCCCCAGUAGCGGCGAGCGAACGGGGAGGAGCCCAGAGCCUGAAUCAGUGUGUGUGUUAGUGGAAGCGUCUGGAAAGGCGCGCGAUACAGGGUGACAGCCCCGUACACAAAAAUGCACAUAUUGUGAGCUCGAUGAGUAGGGCGGGACACGUGGUAUCCUGUCUGAAUAUGGGGGGACCAUCCUCCAAGGCUAAAUACUCCUGACUGACCGAUAGUGAACCAGUACCGUGAGGGAAAGGCGAAAAGAACCCCGGCGAGGGGAGUGAAAAAGAACCUGAAACCGUGUACGUACAAGCAGUGGGAGCCUCUUAAUGGGGUGACUGCGUACCUUUUGUAUAAUGGGUCAGCGACUUAUAUUCUGUAGCAAGGUUAACCGAAUAGGGGAGCCGAAGGGAAACCGAGUCUUAACUGGGCGUUAAGUUGCAGGGUAUAGACCCGAAACCCGGUGAUCUAGCCAUGGGCAGGUUGAAGGUUGGGUAACACUAACUGGAGGACCGAACCGACUAAUGUUGAAAAAUUAGCGGAUGACUUGUGGCUGGGGGUGAAAGGCCAAUCAAACCGGGAGAUAGCUGGUUCUCCCCGAAAGCUAUUUAGGUAGCGCCUCGUGAAUUCAUCUCCGGGGGUAGAGCACUGUUUCGGCAAGGGGGUCAUCCCGACUUACCAACCCGAUGCAAACUGCGAAUACCGGAGAAUGUUAUCACGGGAGACACACGGCGGGUGCUAACGUCCGUCGUGAAGAGGGAAACAACCCAGACCGCCAGCUAAGGUCCCAAAGUCAUGGUUAAGUGGGAAACGAUGUGGGAAGGCCCAGACAGCCAGGAUGUUGGCUUAGAAGCAGCCAUCAUUUAAAGAAAGCGUAAUAGCUCACUGGUCGAGUCGGCCUGCGCGGAAGAUGUAACGGGGCUAAACCAUGCACCGAAGCUGCGGCAGCGACGCUUAUGCGUUGUUGGGUAGGGGAGCGUUCUGUAAGCCUGUGAAGGUGUGCUGUGAGGCA